AUUUACCCGAUGCCUGUACCCCCAUUGUAUCUAGGAAGUAACUAACUCGCUUUUGACUUUACAGGCUCAUAGGCGGAAGGGACUUGCAUUGUCUCAGAUGAGACUUUGGACUGUAGACUUUUGGGUUAAUGCUGAAAUGAGCUGCCUUGUAAGAAGUGCCUUUCACCCUCUACCAUGAUUCUGAGACCUUCCCCAGCCACGUGGAACUGUAAGUCCAACUAAACCUCUUUCUUUUGUAAAUUGCCCAGUCUUGGGCAUGUCUUUAUCAGCAGCAAAUGGACUAAUAAACCAUCCCUCAACCAACAUGAGGCCACAGCCUUUGCAUCUCAAAAUCACCAAGCCCAGCCUCCAGUUAUCAAAACUGAUUAAUCAGACAAGGAAGAUCAUAAGCUCCACACUCUUCCUCCAUAUUAUGGGACUACCACAGGAAACAUUGCCUGGUUCGGGUCACACGAGCAUGCCUUUGCCCCAAUUUUGACAUAAGAGCACCUAUGAUUUUCUUCUUCUGUCCUGACUCUCAGAUCUUUUCUUUGGACGGUGGUGCUGACUCCAUUCCCUCCUCCCAUUGGUCGAAUGUGACUCAGGCUGGACCAAUCAGAGCCUUGCAUUCCCCUGGCCAUAGUGAUUGGUUCCAGAUCAAGCCACACCUAAAUCCACGCCCUAAACUCUUCUGUCACUUGAGCUUGUACAUGUCCUCUUUGCUUAAGCAGUUUUGGGUUAGGUUUGCUGUCGCGUGCAACCGUAACAGCGCUGAAGAUUUAUCCACAGAGCCUGGUACCUGUGAGAGUGUGCCCGUAUAAGGCCAGCUGCCAAGAAGACGCGAGCCUAGCAUCCAGCCUUGAGUUUGUAUGCAACUGCGUUGACUGGAGACUUCUGAGGAGAGAAGAGGCCUCUAGGAGACAGGCUAGGGUGGGAAGCGUCAAGACAGGGAUGUACAGAUGAAAAAAGACCAGAGGAUAUCAAAUCUCACCACAAGGUGGGAGCAUGCGUCCAGUCAAUCGAGAGUUCCUCUGUGCUGCGCAACAAGAGCACUUGGAGAGAAAUCGUCAACAUAGGGCGCCUCUGGCUUUCCAUCCUUCCAUAUCCGUCUAAAUAACUCACAUGCUAGGAAGACCAGCCAUCAAGCCAGACAAGGAAGUGGGACUUCAAAUUUCCCCUACCUAGCCUCAACUGUUCUCUGUUUAUGAUGGACACAUUAAUAUUCUUCCAAAAUAUCAGCAUCAUUUUGAAACUGGCUACAAAAUACUUUAAAAGGAAAGAUUCCACAUGUUCCAGAAAUAAAGUGCUUGAAAUACUUUUGAUGAUGAGGAUAAAACCCAGUGUUUUAAGAGGAAGUCAGCUAAGGCUGGAGAUCUGGAACCCUCUGGCUUACUGAUAUUUAUUGAUCAACUACUGUAUGCCCAAACAUGUUGUGUAAUAGUUGAUCAGUAACUACUAAGUGUAAACAAACUUUGACACUCCUUACCACAAAUAGGCUUUAAUAAUAAUAAACUAGUGAAGUUGGUUGGGCACAGUGGCUCACGCCUGUAAUCCCAGCACUUUGGGAGGCCGAGGAGGGUGGAUCACAAGGUUAGGAGUUCAAGACCAGCCUGGACAGGUCUUUUGUAUUUUUUGUAAAAUACAAAAAAUUAGCCAGGUAUGGUGGUGGGCACCUGUAAUCCCAGCUACUCGGGAGGCUGAGGCAGAGAACUGCCUGAACCCAGGAGGCAGAAGUUGCAGUGAGCCGAGAUCAUGCCACUGCACUCCAGCCUGGGCGACAGAGCGAGACUCCAUCUCAAAAUAAAAAUAAAAGUAAAUUCAUAAAGUCCUUUUUUUAUAUAGAUUUUUCCCACGUGUUUGGGAAGACAAAAUGAACAUUUGAAACAUGAAGCAGUAAAGUGCUCAAAUUUGGUAUUUUGAACAGUUAAAAGUUAAGGUAACAGUAGUAUGCUGUUGAAGUAUGCUGAAUGAAGAAGAGAGCAAGCAGCUUGGAGAAAGAAAAUCAGAGUCUUCUGCUUCGGGUCUUAGUCACUUUACCUCUGAGCACCUGAUUUGGGGGCGAAGCCCCCAGAACCACAUAUGCUUCAUUUUCCUAGUAUCUAACACUAUCUGCUCCAUGCCAGUUCAUUGAACAAAUGAAUCCAUUUGUGGAGAGGGAAUGAUAAUAAUAUUAGCUUCUGUGGCUAGGAGGUUUAAAUGAGAUAAUGAAGCCAAACAGGUUUUGUAACUCAUAAAAUGCUACAAUAUAUUGUAUAUUAUGAUUAAAUGCUAAUCAUACAGCCCAACAAUAGGAGAGCCUGAGGCAGGCAUGGAGGGGUCAUUGUCCACCAGAGACCUGUGGGAAGGCUUCUUAGAGACGGGAGAGGGGCAAAGCUCUGGAGCAUACCUCUCCACUUUUCUCCAUCACGAGCAGCCAAUCGGCAUUUAGCAGACUUCAGCAGGCAGCAGGAAUCCCCUUGCCAAUCUUCAUGGAGAACACGGGUUCUCAUCUGGGAACAAGUCCAUGCUCCAAAGGCCAGAAAUGCUUCCCUCUCGGCCAGAUUCUCUUCAAAUGGCAGAGAGUGACUUUUUCAGCAAAUUGGAUCUAAUAAUAUUCCUGCCAGGACCCCUCCUACCCCCACCUCACACAUUAACAUCCUAGGAAGAAAGGCUCUGGAGCCAUUCAGAAUCUUAUUAUUGCCACUAUAAUUAUUAUAGUUAUGACUAUGACAAUUAUUAUAAGGAAAAUCACCCAAAUGUAGUAAGGCAAAAAAAAAAAAAAAAAAAAAAAGAAGGUGACUUCAUGGCUAUGAACAGAGUUAAAAGGCCAGCAGAUAAACAGAAAUGUCAAUCUCUCUUCUGCCAGGCCACCUCCAAGUGUGUGGGGAAGCUGGGUGUGUAUUGCAGGGGUGCAGGGGAACUGUACUAUGGGAGGAAGAAGGAAACUUCUCCUUCCUGUCCAAUACUUGCCUGUUCUCCUUCCCAAAUGUCUCUGGCAGCUCUCAUUUCCUCUCCAUCCCUUCUUUGACUGCCUGAACUCAGGCCCUCGUCACCUCUUGCCUGUACUAUUGCAAGACCCCCCUCGCCCACCUCCCAGCCUCUGGGCUCACCCAGUCUCUCUAGUGUUGCCCCAAAGGAUCUUUUUCAAAUAGGUGGCAUCAUGACACUCCUCUGUCAAAACCAGGCGAAGCUUCCCACGGAAAAUAUGAGAAUAUAUGUGGAAGUCUUCUGCAUGGCUUGAAAGGCUUCAGACUGGUGCUAUUAUUUGCAUGUUUGUGUCCCUCAGAAAUUCACAAAGUGAAGGUGUUAGGAUGUGGGGCCUUUGGGAGAUGAUAAGAUCAUGAGAGUGGAGCCUAUGGGAAUGAAAUUAGUGUCUCAUAAAAGAGGCCGCAGAGAGGCCCCUCACCCCCCUGCCAUGUGAGGACCCUGCAAUAAAGUGCUUUCUAUAAGUCAGAACACAGGCCCUCACCAGAUAUCCAAUCUGCCUUGAUCUUGGACUUCCUAACCUCCAGAACUAUAAGAAAUAUAUUUCCGUUGUUUAUAAGCCACCCAAUCUAUGGUGUUUUGUUAUAGCAGCGUUGUGUAGCAGCCUAAACAUGCUAAGACAACUGGCCACUGCCUUAUCCUAUGGAGCCCACAGGCAGAAAGACAGAUUCUUGGCUCCUGCACACACAUCACCCAUUCGCAUGGUUUAUGUCCUCAUUUCUCGUAGUCAGUCAAGUUGUUCUCAUAGCCUGGAAGUACCUGCUCAUCCUACCAUCUACCUUUUGAAGUCUUUCAAACCUUGGCUCAGACCACCUGUUUCAAAUAUUUCUCAAUGUUGGAAUUAUCUUCUCCUCAGCCUCUCCUAAGUAUGUUAUUUGCAUUUAAGAUACCCACCCUCAGAUUUGGGCUACUAAGUUCACAUCUCUAGCUCCCUGAGCCUGCAACCCCUGGGUGUCACCUCCUCCUCCAAUAUUUAGCAUUAGUGAAUAGUUGGAGCUGAAUAAAAGCCCGGUGAGUUGAAA
rnacentral:lncRNA from 1 species